GAUAAACGCUGGCGGCGUGCCUAACACAUGCAAGUCGAGCGAUUCUCUUCGGAGAAGAGCGGCGGACGGGUGAGUAACGCGUGGGUAACCUGCCCUGUACACACGGAUAACAUACCGAAAGGUAUGCUAAUACGGGAUAACAUAAGAAAUUCGCAUGUUUUUCUUAUCAAAGCUCCGGCGGUACAGGAUGGACCCGCGUCUGAUUAGCUAGUUGGUGAGGUAACGGCUCACCAAGGCGACGAUCAGUACCCGACCUGAGAGGGUGAUCGGCCACAUUGGUACUGAGCCACGGUCCAAACUCCUAGGGGAGGCAGCAGUGGGGAAUAUUGCACAAUGGGCGAAAGCCUGAUGCAGCAACGCCGCGUGAGCGAUGAAGGCCUUCGGGUCGUAAAGCUCUGUCCUCAAGGAAGAUAAUGACGGUACUUGAGGAGGAAGCCCCGGCUAACUACGUGCCAGCAGCCGCAGUAA
rnacentral:rRNA from 1 species